rnacentral:rRNA from 1 species
UACAGAGGGUGCGAGCGUUAAUCGGAAUUACUGGGCGUAAAGCGUGCGCAGGCGGUUUGCUAAGACAGGUGUGAAAUCCCCGGGCUUAACCUGGGAACUGCGCUUGUAACUGGCAAGCUAGAGUGUGGCAGAGGGGGGUGGAAUUCCAGGUGUAGCAGUGAAAUGCGUAGAGAUCUGGAGGAACACCGAUGGCGAAGGCAGCCCCCUGGGCUAACACUGACGCUCAUGCACGAAAGCGUGGGGAGCAAACAGG